GGUUACUGUGCGGUCGAGCUUCAUUGAUCGCCGGCUCGGCGUUGGCGAACGCCGCGAGGAGCACUAUGGCCAGCGGCACCAGCAUCAUCUGUCACAGAUUAAUAAAAAAAACAUUAAUACAGAAAAUGUCACUCGCAAGCGAAGACGAUUCUUCGAAGGCGAUGACCUUGAAGAUGUGCUUCGUCAACUUUCACCAACUGGUAACAUAGACGUCGUAGACUGGUAACAGGCUAGUCAAUGUCAUCCGUGCUGCAACUCGUGGUUAAAGCCCGAGUUCCAUUCUUGGAGUUUCCACGGACCACGCUGGAAAAGUGGAGGAGGUUCCGGUUGUGUCAAACUGACGAAAUGCAAGUGUCUUUGCGGAGGAAACUGACGUGGACAUGCAUAAAAGCAGCAGCAAUAUUAAUGAGCUAUAUGUGCAAUAUAAAUGUUAGUUUAUCUACAUGUAAAUGAUAAAGCAAAGUAGUAUUACAAUAUUUAUUAAUUUUAUGUGAAUUACAAAUUAUGGAUUUUAUACAAGAAAUCCAUAAAUACGUUCAUGACAUAAGUAUGUCAUGUGUCCAAUAAAAAAUUAUUAUAAAAAUAAUAAAAUUAUUAAUAUAUAAAAUUAUAAUAACUUAUAGAAAAUUUUAUGAAAACAAUUUACUAUGAAUAAUGAUAAUUGCAAAUAUUAAUAUAAAAAAUCUCAAGAUAUGGAUGGUAAAAACAAAAUUAAUAUCUCUAUGUAAUAAAUGCAAUCACAAAUAUAACUAUUCUUUUUAUAAAUUUGCUAUUUAUGUAGUAAUAAUAAUUAACAAGUACGAUUUGCAUGAUUAACAACUAUAAACAUAAAAUAUGUCGUUGGUACUGAAAAUAUCUAUGAAUUAUAAUUAAAUUAUAAUUAUAAUAAUUACACUUAUUUUCUUCUUUCAGUGUAAUAAUACGUAAAAUCCCAUUGCUUUAUUACAUAACAAUUUUAUAACAUUAUUUACCUUCGGAAGAGCAAACUGUAAAAAAUUUGAAUAGCUUCAUGCUUUCAACUGUUUUCACUCUCACAGUCAAAUCACUCCUCGACUACGAUUCGCGCCACAAUAAAUCAGGAUUCGUAAAUGUGGUUUGCAUAUAUACAUCAUAUACAUGUAUAUACACACACGCGCACAUAUGUACGAUAUAUACAACAAUCGCGUAUCGUCUUCGCACUGAUGUAACACUUUUGCCUCCAGCUCCGGUAACUUCUCGAACACCUGUUAAGCGCGCUCGCGUAAUAGCCGCGACGUCGACUUGCGAUGUGCACGCCUUAUAGAGUACUUAAGAUUUCUCUUUGUAAAAUCAUGUCGUUCGAAUUUCGGAUGCAGUCAAUGCACUUAAAAAGAAUUAGUUUCGUAAACAUAAGUAAAAAUAAAACGAUAGUAAGCUUACAAUGAAGAAGAAUAUUGUUUCUUCUUAUGAAAAUACUAUAUGUUAUAUGAUUUGUUUCUUGUCAGUUUUAAUAUUGUUCUACUUUAUUAUUACCUUACUUAAUAUUGUUCUACUUUAAUAUUACCUACUAUAAUAUUACCAUUAUUUAGUUUUGAAUUUAUUAUAAAAAGAUUAAUUUAACAUAGUCACCAUUCAUAUAAAAUAUUUUUAUACAACAGUUCGUUCAAAAUAAAAGAAAUAUUUUAAAAAGAGAUUAAUAUCCGAAAAUUGAGAGCUAAAGAAGUGAUAGAUUAAAGUUCUAGAAUGAAUAUUUUUUUAAAUUGUUUAACCUUUUAAUAGUUAACAAAACAGUAGCAUAAUAGGACAUAAUAAUUAUUUUAAAAGUCUGAAAAUGUAAGAAAGGAAAAUUUAUAAUAAUUAAAACACAUGUAAUGUUAAAACAAUUAAAUUAAUAUUUUUAUAAAGGAUAUAUAUGUAAACAAAUUGCACUUUUUUGCAACAAUCACGUGCAAUAAUGAAUCGACAUAUCGCCUUGGUUCAUUGACAUCUCAAAUGGAUUAUGAUAAUGAAGACCAUCCUUGGAGUAGAAUAUAAGAAUGAAAAAUAUACUUUCUUGGAUGCUGGAGAAUUGUGUAAGAUGUGAUAGUCAAAAUAACAAACGAUGGAAUGUGUCCAUUAGCAACCUAGAAGUAAUGGCAACCUUGGUGCCAUCAGUGAUUUCAUCAAAGUUUGAUUCAAGGAUUCGAUUUUGACAUAUCAACAUUCUUAAUUUAAUGUAUCGUUAAACUAAACUAUUUAAUUGCAAAUAAGAUAAAAUAUCAUUUCGAAUACGAGGCCAAAGUUUCGAAAAGUAAAGUUCUCAAAAAAAUUUUUUUAAAGAAAGGUUGUUUAAUUUAUUAUUUUUUGCAUACAGUAAGCCAAAAAUCAGAUGUAUCUCUAUACUUGAAAGAAAAAAAGAUUUAUUUAUUUUCGUGCCAUUCGAAAAGUGACAAACGAAUUUGAAUUAUGAGUCGACACGCAUCCUCCAACUGUUUAUCUCAAGCGGGAAAUGCGACGCGUGACGGGGCUGAAAAGGUCGCGGAUUCGCACACGCACGCAAUCGAAGAAAACAUCCAUUUUCGUCUUUCACAUUGUUAAAUGUCGCCAGUACUUCAUUUAGAUUAAGUACAGCCGAACUGCGCCUACGUUUUGCGUCAGUGACAGCCUUAUUCCUCGAAAUUUAUACUUUUUAUGCAGACAUGCGUGUGUAUAAAUAACAUUAAUGUUAAAUGACCGAAUUUACGUAUAUGUGAUGAAUUCAAAACGGUUUUAGCCACGCGGGUGACUCACGUUGAGGCCAACGUACCUAGUCGUAAAUAAUUAACGUACUUGAGCUGCACGUUGGUGCAAUAAAAAUUGCGUACUGCAAUUAAGCCAGUACCUUCUCUGAUAUCUGGACGCUUUUUCCGGCCUGAAAUAGACAUGUGACAACUUUGCGCAACGCUUUGCGACCGACUGAACAAUGCAACGUGUGAUCGUUGCAAAAGAUCGUGCGACUGCGUAGACGUUUAUGGCGUGCAGACGAAAAAUGUGUGCGGAAACCGGCGUUAAGUUCCGUUUGAGAUUUAUCGCUUUUGAUAGAAAUUUCAUCGGUUACAUCCGUCUAACCUUGACUCCUCCGCCAAAGUGAAAAUAACAGCACGCAGUUAAGAUCAUAAUUUGCAUAAAAUUCAUUCUACUCGCCAAACGAAUCCCGAACGAUAUAAACAGCCCAUGGUUGAAUGGCAAAUCGGAUUUAAAUGCCAAUGUUUCUUGAAAAAAAAGAAAAAGAAAA